rnacentral:rRNA from 1 species
AUUGAACGCUGGCGGCGCGCCUAAUACAUGCAAGUCGAGCGAGAAGACGUAGCAAUACGUUUGUAAAGCGGCGAACGGGUGAGGAAUACAUGGGUAACCUACCCUCGAGUGGGGAAUAACUAGCCGAAGGUUAGCUAAUACCGCGUACGCUCCUUGGACUUCGGUUCAGGGAGGAAAGCGAUACCGUGGGUAUCGCGCUCUUGGUUGGGCUCAUGUCCUAUCAGCUUGUUGGGAGGUAACGGCUCACCAAGGCUUCGACGGGUAGCUGGUCUGAGAGGACGAUCAGCCACACUGGGCACUGCGACACGGGCCAGACUCCUACGGGAGGCAGCAGUAAGGAAUAUUGCGCAAUGGGCGAAAGCCUGACCCACGCAACGCCGCGUGAAGGAGGAAAUACCUUCGGGAUGUAAACUUCACAAGCAAGGGAAGAGCGCGCAGGGUCGAAUAAACUCUGCGUCCGACGGUACCUUGCGUAAGCCACGGCUAACUACGUGCCAGCA